rnacentral:misc_RNA from 1 species
GAUGAAGAACGUAGCGAAAUGGGAUACUUGGUGUGAAUUGCAGAAUCCCGUGAACCAUCGAGUCUUUGAACGCAAGUUGCGCCCGAAGCCAUCAGGUUGAGGGCACGUCUGCCUGGGCGUCACAUAUCGUUGCCCAAUGCCUAUUGCAGUGCAAUAGGAAUUUCUAGGGCGAAUGAUGGCUUCCCGUGAGCGUUGUUGCCUCGCGGUUGGUUGAAAAUCGAGUCCUUGGUAGGGUGUGCCAUGGUAGAUGGUGGUCGAGUUAGAACGAUACCGAUCAUGUGCAUGCUCCCCAAAAUAUGGCCUCUAUGACCCACACGCGUCUUUUGACGCUCAUGACGAGACCUCAGGUCAGGCGGGGCUACCCGCUGAAUUUAAGCAUAUCAAUAAGCGGAGGA